GUACGGUCACUUGGCAGCUGGACUCCGUUGGGUAAACUCGCAACGGUAUACGUGCAUGGUGCUGUCGAACUUUUAUAAGGCGUAGAAGCAUUGCUGCAAACACGUUUUAUGAGGUUUGGGCUGAAGAACGCUUUGUAAGUAGCCCAUCAAGAAGCUCUGGAAAGCAACGUUCAGUUCACGGCCAGGAAUCCGACGCCAAACCAUGCAUUUAUUAUAUUAAAACUGAAUAAACACCUUUGUAAUUACUUGUUGUUUGUUUUGAUAUUAUGUGAUGAUGAUUAAGAUAUUAUAAUAAUAAGUGGAAAGGAGUAGUAAGAUUGUAUGAAUUAGUCAUAAGCAGUGAUAAGUAUUUAGACAUUUUCACAUUUGAUAUGCUAUGAUCAAUAUAUAUUGUCUUUGCAAUUGACAAAUUCCUACAAUAUUUGAAUCUGAAAAUGGUCUAAAAGCUUUAAAAACAAACCCAGUAUUUUGUAAAUGAUAGAAAAUGAACAUUAAAUGGAAGUGACAUUCUGAAAGAAUAUAUUUACAAGAUUUUUCCAACAAUUCCAAUUUACUUGCCUUUUGGAAAUUUGUUCUACGUUUUGUACAAGAUUGUUUUUAAAUUCCUUGGAACAAAUUCAUUCCCAGAAAAUAUUUUCCACUUGUCUUAGUAAAGUACAGGCCUUGUGGAUACUGGGUUUUGUAUCACAAAUUGAUUAAUGUUGAAUUUUUCAACUCAAAAAUUAAACAUUUAAAAUUAGAAAGUGGUUAAAGACAACAUUCAAGAUAUGCCAAAAAUUUGAAUUUCCCCCAACUUGUCACCCCUAAAGAUAGAAUGGAAUCGCCCAACCUGUCACCCCUGUCAACAGAAUGAACUCAUCCAACCUGUCACCCCUCAAAAAUAAUGGAAUCGUCCAACCUGUCACCCCUCAAAUGGAAUGGAAUCG